UUGGAACUGAGACACGGUCCAAACUCCUACGGGAGGCAGCAGUGAGGAAUAUUGGUCAAUGGACGAGAGUCUGAACCAGCCAAGUAGCGUGCAGGAAGACGGCCCUAUGGGUUGUAAACUGCUUUUAUAAGGGAAUAAAGUGAGAGUCGUGACUCUUUUUGCAUGUACCUUAUGAAUAAGGACCGGCUAAUUCCGUGCCAGCAGCCGCGGUAAUACGGAAGGUCCGGGCGUUAUCCGGAUUUAUUGGGUUUAAAGGGAGCGUAGGCCGGAGAUUAAGCGUGUUGUGAAAUGUAGAUGCUCAACAUCUGAACUGCAGCGCGAACUGGUUUCCUUGAGUACGCACAAAGUGGGCGGAAUUCGUGGUGUAGCGGUGAAAUGCUUAGAUAUCACGAAGAACUCCGAUUGCGAAGGCAGCUCACUGGAGCGCAACUGACGCUGGUGCUCGAAAGUGUGGGUAUCAAACAGGAUUAGAUACCC
rnacentral:rRNA from 1 species